UACAGAGGUCCCAAGCGUUGUUCGGAUUCACUGGGCGUAAAGAGCUCGUAGGCGGCCUGUCGCGUCGGUUGUGAAAGCCCGGGGCUUAACCCCGGGUCUGCAGUCGAUACGGGCAGGCUAGAGUUCGGUAGGGGAGAUCGGAAUUCCUGGUGUAGCGGUGAAAUGCGCAGAUAUCAGGAGGAACACCGGUGGCGAAGGCGGCAUCCUGGACCGGUAUUGACGCUGAGGCGCGAAAGCCAGGGGAGCAAACGGG
rnacentral:rRNA from 1 species